UGGGGAAUAUUGCACAAUGGGCGCAAGCCUGAUGCAGCCAUGCCGCGUGUGUGAAGAAGGCCUUCGGGUUGUAAAGCACUUUCAGCGAGGAGGAAGGUGGUGAGCUUAAUACGCUCAUCAAUUGACGUUACUCGCAGAAGAAGCACCGGCUAACUCCGUGCCAGCAGCCGCGGUAAUACGGAGGGUGCAAGCGUUAAUCGGAAUUACUGGGCGUAAAGCGCACGCAGGCGGUUUGUUAAGUCAGAUGUGAAAUCCCUGGGCUCAACCUGGGAACUGCAUUUGAAACUGGCAAGCUAGAGUCUCGUAGAGGGGGGUAGAAUUCCAGGUGUAGCGGUGAAAUGCGUAGAGAUCUGGAGGAAUACCGGUGGCGAAGGCGGCCCCCUGGACGAAGACUGACGCUCAGGUGCGAAAGCGUGGGGAGCAAACAGGAUUAGAGUACCCUGGUAGUCCACGCUGUAAACCGAUGUCGAUUUGGAGGUUGUGCCCUUGAGGCGUGGCUUCCGGAGCUAACGCGUUAAAUCGACCGCCUGGGGAGUACGGCCGCAAGGUUAAAACUCAAAUGAAUUGACGGGGUCAUAGC
rnacentral:rRNA from 1 species